rnacentral:misc_RNA from 1 species
CCUCCUUAUACGAAGAUAUUCACGAUAAGUGUCCACACAGAUUGAUGGUUUAGAUUUAGUUAAAGCCAGAGCUUUAAUGAAUAACGUCAGUUAUUGAUUAAAGCUUUUUGCUUUAUGCUCUUUAACAAUUUGGAAAGCUGAUUGAUUUGAAUAACGAAGUUAUUUAAAUCAAAUUAAAAGUUCUCAAUGUUUUCUUUUAACUAAGAAAACACAACAAACACAUUCAAGUGUCUUGUAUUCGAUUCAAACUUGUUUGAAUCACAUUGAGUCCGGCAAACAGUGAUCAAGAAUUAACCCUUCUUGAUGACAACCAAAAACCUUGGUUGCUGUUUUGUCUUCACUGCCAUUUGUCUUCACCUUUUAAAGUGAAAUCAAACAAGCAAGUGAAAGCAAAUGCCAUACGCUAAGACCCUUCCGGGUUGUAUGGUUAAGUGACUAAGCGUACACGGUGGGAUGC